AGAUUAUGUAAUUGUAGUCAUUGCUGGAUGUCUUGGAGGUUUUCUGAUUUUGUAGACAACUCUUGAGAUGAACAUCUUUAUGCAUCAAUUUUUAGUUCCUGAAGGUGGAAUUAGAGCCAAUUUUCUUGUGCAAAGUUCAUGUCAGUUUCUUUAACACACCUUUACCUACACUGGGCAUUAUUUGGUUGCCAUUUUGAUAAGUAAAAAUGGUACUUUUCCUUACUUCUGAGGCAUAAUCAGAUUGGCAUUUAAUCAAACUAUUACAUACAUGUGGUAGAAUUCAUUUUUUUUAAAUUUAACUUUGUUGUUGUUGAGAGGGAGUCUUGCUCUGCCGCCCAGGCUGGAGUACAGUGGUGCAAUCUCAGCUCACUGCAACCUCUGCCUCCUGGUUUCAAGCAAUUCUCCUGCCUCAGCCUCCUGAGUAGCUGGGAUUACAGGCACCUUCCACCAUGCUUGGCUAAUUUUUGUAUUUUUAGUAGAGACAGUUUCACCAUGUUGGCCACGUUGGUAUAGUGGUGAGCAUAGCUGCUUUCCAAUUUACUUUAUUUAUUUAUUUAUUUAUUUAUUUAUUUAUUUAUUUAUUUAUUUGAGACGGAGUCUAACUCUCCUACCCAGGCUGUAGUGCAUUGGCACGAUCUCAGCUCACUGCAACCUCCAUCUCCCAGGUUCAAGCAAUUCUCCUGUCUCAGCCUCCCAAGUAGCUGGGACUACAGGUGCACACCACCAUGCCGAGCUAAUUUUUUGUAUUUUUUAGUAGAGACGGGGGUUUCACCAUGUUGGCCAGGCUGGUCUCGAACUCCUGGCCUCAAGUGAACUGCCUACCUGGGUCUCACAAAGUGCUGGGAUUACUGGCUUGAGCUACCACACAUGGCCUCAACUCUUCAUUAUUAAAUUGGUUUUGUGUUAGGUGAUUUUGCCCAGCUGUAGGUGAAUGUAAGCGUUCUGAGCAUGUUUGAAGUAGGCUAGACUGAGCUAGGAUGGUGGGUCGGUUAAGUGUAUUAAAAUGCAUUUUAACUUAUGAUAUUUUCAGUUUAUGGUGAGUUUAUCAGGAUGUGACCCCAUCGUAAGUUGAGGAGCAUCUGUAAUAGCAUUUUGUUUUUUAAAAAUAUUUAAUCAUCUUUGUCAAUGUCUCUUGAAUCCUCAGCGUUGACAACGAAGAUGUGUCCCUACCCUCUGCCUCUCAGGCUUGCUAAUUGCUGGGUUCUGCUUUCACUUUCACAUUGUUGAAGGAGAUAUUUCCAGUUGUUUUCUGUGCAUUAUCUGUAGUUCCCUUUUAAAAGGUGAAGCUGAUAAACACUUGUUAUGACAGUGUGAACUGGGCUUAAUGCUGUGUCAAGCAGUGUGCAAAGAUUACAUUUCCCUCUCCUCAUGUCUUGACUUCUGCAUCCCUCAAGAGAGAAUGAAUGUUCGUAAGGUUAAGGUCAAAUGGAAUGGAGUUUGCUCCUCAUAUUUCAUCAGUUGCUCAAAGGUACUCCCCAUUUUAGCUUGUGUUCUGUUUGGAUCCUGACUUUCUCAUGGUGGUUUUUCUGGACUUUUAUUAGCUUUCUUUUUCAUCCUGGGUAUUACAUGGCGUGCCUUCCACUCUGCCCCUGGAUUUCUUUUUACAGCCCUGGCUCUUGUGGGCCACAACAGUUCUUGAGGUAGGCUGCUAGGGUUCCCCAUUGGAGCCUCUCCAUUCCAGUGUUCCAGGGGGCAGAUGAGCUCCUAUCCCCACUGGCCUGUCUUGCUGGUGUUCAGGGCCCUGGCUUCCACUUUGCGAGGUCACCUUUCAGGAUUCAUGUGUAUCCACUUUGCUGUGUCAGAAACUCCCUACUGCUGACCUCCCUCUCCUCUUUGCUGUCAUUAAUGGAUUCUCAUUGUGGGAGAUAAACGUGUGCUCAGCCUAGAAUACCACAUGAUUUUUUUUUUCUUGAUUCAUUGCUUUUGCCUGUUAGCCUUGUUGUUCUAAAGUAGUUCAUUUUUCUACUCUACUUUUCCUUUCCCCUCAAUGACCCCCACCCCAAAACUGUGCCUAAAUACUAUUCAUGCAG
rnacentral:lncRNA from 1 species